rnacentral:lncRNA from 1 species
CUUUGCUAAUAGCUGGCUCAGUUACAUACUUCAAAUGCAUGCAGAGGGUGCACUUGACCUUAGGUAAUUCUUAAAUGGAUUACUAAGGAAGGCAGGACUUUGGGUUGACAGCACUAUAUGGGCAACUUGUAUCUUGCUCAGGGUGGGAACCUUUGUAGCUAAAUGCCUCUAGAAGAGGCGUUUAUUGUUUUUGUUUUUUUAAACAGCUGCACUAAAUAAACCCCUUUUUAAAUCCAUUGUAUAUUGCAACAUUUUGAACCAUGACCAGCUCACUAUUUCUUGAGCUGGAACUUGCUAAUUUCUAUGGUAGUUUUUUUCAUGAAAGUUGAGAAGGCCUGGUCUUGGCCUUUUGUUUCUUCAUGAGAAGGUGUGACACUGCCUAUAAAUGUUUCUUACUGUGAAACACUCCGAAUGUGAGCCUGUAGUCAGGGUUAUUUCUGGUGGUUUGAUAACGGCUUGCAUGCUGCUUUCUAGCUUUCUGUCUCUGUCCUGGUUGAUCAAACUUCCUCUCGGUGUUUCUCUUCAUUUUACCACAGUUCACAUUCAUCUCCUACCCUUUGAUCUUUCUAUCUCCCAGCGUUCUGAGGAGUAAA